AGUCACAAUGGGAACUCCGACAGCUUUUUCUGUUUGUUUUUUUAAAGUGUGGAGGCAGCCAUGGCAUCUGAGGGAAACGGCUGAUUUCAAGCUCCCUCCGUUUGGUUGACGUGUCCAACUUUAUUUGGGAUUUGGACAAAGACAGACUGUCUUCUGCAGUCCCAGAACGUUCCCUGAUGAUCACAAAAGGUUGCAGAGCCUGUAAAAGACCUGGACUAGGGAAAGAAAAGUCCCUUUCGGAGGAACCUGCACUCUUUUCCUGUGCCUCUGAGAUGUGACUGUCCCACCUGACCUCUCCAGGAACUGGUCCCAGGCCAGCUUCUUAGAAAUGCAAACUUCUUGCCAGAAGGAGGAAAAAAAAGGAGAAGGCUAUUUGGAACUUAGGUGAAUGAAAAAUCUUAAGUGUCUUUUCCACAAACAGUAAUGAACGACAAAGGGUUUGCCAUCGGAGCAGGUAACCUUCACUCACUCCAACGUCCAGAAACGGGAUUUGGAUAAAACUGUUCUUCUACAAACUAAUGAGUUUUGCAUUGUUGUACUUAUCUCAUGGCUAAAAUUUUACAACAAAAGCUUUACGAUCUCUGCAUCUGUCUGUCUAUGUGUGUAUGUUGCAAAUUUGUAAUGUUUUCCUACCUCUGAAUGCUACUGCCAAAAUUAAUUUGUAAAAGAGCAUAUUUAAUUGGCUGAACCAUUAAGGGCUUACCCAAUUAUGUAUUCUAAACCUGAGAAAUACAGAAACUUAACCCGGAUGUUUUUCAAGUUCACAUGGUUUAGGAAACAUCUUGAGUGAAAAAAAGCUAGCGUACGUUUGUUGGUCUAAUCCAAGUAGGUAUGUUAAAUACAAUGCAGACACGUACAACGUUUAUUCUGGGUCAAAUAAGUUCAUGUUAUCUCUGUUCCAAAAUGUGUCAGCAAGGAAGCUAACGUCAGACGCUGGCUAGCUGUUUAAUGUCUCGAGAAAUUUUCAGACGCAACACAAUUGUUGAGAACAAGUGAACAAAUAAAUGUGUACUGGGCGUGACCUGUUAGGUUUCUCACUGGGUGGAAGCUUUUGCCUACCGAUAAGCGACUGCCUCUUUUAUAGCAAAGAAAUUACUUCAAAACACCAUCCUUAUAUGCGGCGCCCCCAUCAUUUUUGCACAGUGACCGUGGCGCUCAUUUUCCUGGUCAGGUAAUCCAAGAACUCUGCAGAGUCCUUCUGUUACAGAGGCUGCAUUCAGGACUAAUGGAAAAGACGAAUGACGUCGUGAAAGCCCAGUGAGGCAACGUUUCUGAGACUUUGCAACUUCCCUUGAUGAAGGUGCUGUCAUGGUCCUUUCCAACCUCAAGUCCUCGCCUUUUGCAAAACAUAUGCUCACUCCCUAUGAAAUAGUAUUCCACGCCUCGGCCUCAUUCUCCAUACUCUGACCCUCAAACUGCCCAACAGGACCUAUUAAAAAUAAAUCACUAGUCACCUAUUCUCUAUUCCUCCUACAGGUUCAAGAAGCUUAUGAACAAGAAUACACCCUGACCCUUGCCUGACUUCCUGGAGAAUUUUCCACUGGAAAAGACAGUGAUGAAAGGACUCCUGCCUCCCCCCGGGAAGGGUGUUUUCUGGUACCGCUCACCAGUUCCUACAUGGCUGAACUUGAAGGCAUCUGCCCCAACAGAGAGGAGUCACGGGACGAGCAAAGCCACCGAUGAUCUGACUCAAGACCUCCUGGCCCCAGAAGUGGACGACACCGGGUGUGGACAGCUGUCCCCAGAUGCUGGACCAGGCCUGUACCUGUCUUGAUUUCUGCCAUGUUCACCUGUACUGUGAAAAUCACCAUCGCCCGAUGCCUCCACUCCCCUGUUUCAAACAUCAGUUCCUCACCUCAGGAGAGCUGUCACACGGAUGGGGUUUAGUGCGCACUUCCAUGGGAAGCAAUGUCAACCAAGCGAUGGUCAACCUUCUGGGUCAUUUGUAUGGAAGCAUGUUUUUAAUCCAAGUCCCUGCUGCCCUGGCUGCGAGGUGGCACACGUGAAGCUCUGAUCAGGAAUCUCUCCUCAACUCUUCAAGAAAUUGCAGAAUCUGUUGCUAAAGCAAUAGCUGCCCAACAAAAAUCCCUCGACUUUCAGGCCAAAGUUGUUCUUGAAAAGACAGCCCCUUGACUGUCCUGUAGCUGAGCAAGGUGUCUGUGCUGUGACCAACACCACUGCUGCACCUGGGCCGACGCUUCUGGGGAGGUUGAGACUCAGCUCCGGAAGAUCACAAAACUAGCCAGGUAGCCUUACAAAGGGACUCCUUCAAUGGUCUCUUUCUUGGAUUCACUUGGUUCUGAUUAGUCUGGGUCUUGGGGAACCAUGGCUCCGAAGUCGACUCCAGGCACUGGGCAUGCCUCGGCUUAGUCAGCACAGGGGCCACCCUCGUGUGCUGUGUUCUCUCAAAAGCUUCCAACGCAACUUUGCAGCCACCAAGUAAAUGAGCUCCCUCAGAAGAGAACAGCAGAAAAAGAACGAAGAGACGGUCUCCUUAAAAAACCUGACCCAAUGUCACAAACCACGACCACCACACAGAGAUUCAGCAAAACCUGGGAAGAGUCCCAGAGCAGCAGCUGGAAGCAGCACGCAUACAUUUUGACCACCUCUCUUAGGCUGAGAGUCUGCUGAAAAGGCGGACAUUGUUAACAAGACAACAGGUCCAAAAUGAAGUCACUUAGGCUAAGCUCCACAUCACCAAACCAAGACCUGGCUUCACUGCAUCAGCUGUGAAAUGGAAUCCUGAACCCAGCCCGUCCCGACGCGCCUGCUCAUCGCUAGUGAGGGCGUCUGCCUGACGGAGCCCUGGCCAGAACCAGCCCACCUCUCACCUGGGACAACUUCCCUGAUCCUGCUCCCUCCUGCCUGUUAGUCCCCUUUUGUUCAGCUCCUCAGAGCUCCUAUCUGCUCGACUGGAUGCGGCCUGACUCAUAAGUCACUGAAAUAAAGCCGCUAAGAUCUUGCAAAUUUA